rnacentral:rRNA from 2 species
AGAGUUUGAUCCUGGCUCAGGAUGAACGCUAGCGGCAGGCUUAACACAUGCAAGUCGAGGGGCAGCAUAAUGGAUAGCAAUAUCUAUGGUGGCGACCGGCGCACGGGUGCGUAACGCGUAUGCAACCUACCUUUAACAGGGGGAUAACACUGAGAAAUUGGUACUAAUACCCCAUAAUAUCAUAGAAGGCAUCUUUUAUGGUUGAAAAUUCCGAUGGUUAGAGAUGGGCAUGCGUUGUAUUAGCUAGUUGGUGGGGUAACGGCUCACCAAGGCGACGAUACAUAGGGGGACUGAGAGGUUAACCCCCCACACUGGUACUGAGACACGGACCAGACUCCUACGGGAGGCAGCAGUGAGGAAUAUUGGUCAAUGGACGCAAGUCUGAACCAGCCAUGCCGCGUGCAGGAUGACGGCUCUAUGAGUUGUAAACUGCUUUUGUACGAGGGUAAACGCAGAUACGUGUAUCUGUCUGAAAGUAUCGUACGAAUAAGGAUCGGCUAACUCCGUGCCAGCAGCCGCGGUAAUACGGAGGAUCCAAGCGUUAUCCGGAUUUAUUGGGUUUAAAGGGUGCGUAGGCGGUUUGAUAAGUUAGAGGUGAAAUUUCGGGGCUCAACCCUGAACGUGCCUCUAAUACUGUUGAGCUAGAGAGUAGUUGCGGUAGGCGGAAUGUAUGGUGUAGCGGUGAAAUGCUUAGAGAUCAUACAGAACACCGAUUGCGAAGGCAGCUUACCAAACUAUAUCUGACGUUGAGGCACGAAAGCGUGGGGAGCAAACAGGAUUAGAUACCCUGGUAGUCCACGCAGUAAACGAUGAUAACUCGUUGUCGGCGAUACACAGUCGGUGACUAAGCGAAAGCGAUAAGUUAUCCACCUGGGGAGUACGUUCGCAAGAAUGAAACUCAAAGGAAUUGACGGGGGCCCGCACAAGCGGAGGAACAUGUG